GGGGACUAAACCUAAUACACGAGCAUGUAAAAUUCUCCUAAUGAGGAUGCUGCCAGAUUCUUAAGAGAUUGGGAAAUCACAAUGCUAAAUAAUUAUAUAACUCUUAGUUAUGCAUCAGUAGAUCAGGAGAAUUUGAAAUUGUUUAUAAAGGACUGUUGAUAUGAGGUCGUUCACAUUAUUAUUCGAAACAUUAUUAUUCGAAUACUUCACUGCAUGCAUUUUUUUAUUUCUAUUUC
rnacentral:lncRNA from 1 species